rnacentral:rRNA from 1 species
CAGAUGAUGCCUAUCAACUGUUUAAAAGAUGGUUCUGCUAUCACUCUUGGAUGGACCUGCGGUGCAUUAGCUAGUUGGUAGGGGUAACGGCCUACCAAGGCGAUGAUGCAUAGCCGAGUUGAGAGACUGAUCGGCCACAUUGGGGACUGAGACACGGCCCAAACUCCUACGGGAGGCAGCAGUAGGGAAUCUUCCACAAUGGACGCAAGUCUGAUGGAGCAACGCCGCGUGAGUGAAGAAGGGUUUUCGGCUCGUAAAGCUCUGCUGUUGGUGAAGAAGGAUAGAGGUAGUAACUGGCCUUUAUUUGACGGUAAUCAACCAGAAAGUCACGGGCUAACUACGUGCCAGCAGCCGCGGUAAAU